AGUUCAGCGGCUGGCCGCCAGUCAGCGCCACUGUCGGCCGGAACGGAGGCGCCACCCGAGGCGACCAGCCACUCCACCUGGCGGACGGAGGGCAGUCAGCGCAGGGAGACCUCCGGAGAAGCCAGCAACCACCCACCAGCUCCAGAAAACAUGGGCAAGGGCAAGCCAGAGAAGGGAGGAGCCGCCGCCGCCGAUGCUCCGGCCGAUGAUGCCAAGGUUGAGAAGAAGGCGCCCGCCAAGCCCGCCAAGGAGGCUCCCGCCAAGGAGGCCAAGGGCGCCAAGAAAGGUGGCAAGAAGUGACCACGGGCGAUGACUGCGGAGGACCUGUCUCCGCCCCAUCACUCAUUUCAUUAUUCCACACCUCGCUCGCGCCGCCUUUCACAUUGGAGAAGAGAUGCCUUCGCCAUCACCAGCCUGCGGAGAGCUCGGAGCCGGGAGGACCGCGCUCCGGUGAAUACUGAGUGGCUGAGGGCGUGGAACGCCAUGCCUCUGGUGGUCUCCAGAUGACCCCUCUAGACAGGCUAGGUGACCGCGGGCCGCGGCGGCACCCUAAAGUAUUCGGUGGCACGGGUCCGCUGAUUGAGAGACCAGCGGUUCCCCCUCGCCUGUGUUCCUGUGACGAGCUUCUGAGCCGAUUCCAAAUGCGUGUACAGUGGUGCUAAAUAAAUUAUGAUUGUGUUA